AACUUUUGGCAAUGGAUCUCUUGGCUCUCGCAUCGAUGAAGAACGCAGCGAAAUGCGAUACGUAAUGUGGAUUGCAGAAUUCAGUGAAUCAUCGAAUCUUUGAACGCACCUUGCGCCCCUUGGAAUUCCGAGGGGCACACCCGUUUGAGUGUCGUGAACAUCCUUCAACCUUUCUUGGUUUCUUAACCGGGGAAGGCUUGGACUUUGGGGGUCUUUCAUUGCUGGCCUCUUUGAAGCCAGCUCCUCCUAAAUGGAUUAGUGUGGUCUGCUUUGCCGAUCCUUGACGUGAUAAGAUGUUUCUACGUCUUGGGUUUCGCACUGUCGCUUUAGACCCCGCUUCUAACCGUCUUGCAUUCAAGACAGAGUUUUAAACCUUGACCUCAAAUCGGGUGAGACUACCCGCUGAACUUAAGCAUAUCAAUAAGCGGAGGCU
rnacentral:misc_RNA from 1 species